rnacentral:rRNA from 2 species
CCUUCUCAAACAUUCUGUUUGGUAGUGAGUGAUACUCUUUGGAGUUAACUUGAAAUUGCUGGCCUUUUCAUUGGAUGUUUUUUUUCCAAAGAGAGGUUUCUCUGCGUGCUUGAGGUAUAAUGCAAAGUACGGUCGUUUUAGGUUUUACCAACUGCGGCUAAUCUUUUUUUAUACUGAGCGUAUUGGAACGUUAUCGAUAAGAAGAGAGCGUCUAGGCGAACAAUGUUCUUAAA